UAUUGGUGGCGUUUUUGGUGGAUAUACCGACGACAAUUUUGAAGAAGAAGGAAAUUCAGAUAUGACUUCCAGAGCUAUUGUUCCCGACCACCAACCCAGAGGUAGUAUUGUAAACCCCAUGGAUUUUUUUUACUUUUGUAUUUUUUGUGAAUUGAAUGUCAACGAUGACCAGAAACAAUUUUUUUAUUUAUUUAAUUUCUUAUUUUGUGUGUCUUGGUGGGAUCUUUGUAUUGGAAAAAAUAUGUUGUUUACUGAAUUUAUGAUGAUAAUAAUAUCUUUCGAGGGCUCGAUUGUGUG
rnacentral:lncRNA from 1 species